rnacentral:lncRNA from 1 species
CCGGCGGGAAGGGACCUAGGGCUUGCUCCGCUUCGCCUCUGCUGGAAGGAAGGACUUUAUCACAAAGCAGGCGCCUAGGGCUAAGGAAAGCCAGGGUGUCUUGCUUCUUUGAGCCGGACAGCAGGGAGGAGGCCCCUUCUUCUGCAUAUUUGCUUCCUGGGACGCGGCUCCAGAGAGGACCCUUCAAACACUUUGGGUUGGUUCAAAAAGAAUUGGCACCCCAGAGACCUCUGCCAACUGCCAGACUCCGAGAGAGUGAACCACCUACCUUUCAACCCUCCCGCCACACGUGUCUGAGGAGACUCUGGUUUGGUUGCUUCGGAUACCAAGAACACGAGCUUGUCGGAUAUGAAGACAGAAGAAAUGGUGACCCACCCCAUGGAGGUAACACAGCCAGCGAUCACUUCUUAUAGAUUACAGAGGAAGCCUGAGAACACACCCUGCUGUCUUUUGGGGGACAUGGGCUUCCCUCAGUGCUCCAGUUGGAGGAAAUACACUCCACGACCCCAGGCUGCCUGGCAGGCUCUCUGAACUGUCCCAAUAUCCUCUGACCUAAUCAAUCCAUUCCAGCAU